rnacentral:antisense_RNA from 1 species
CUUGAUCGAGCCGAGCCACAGCGGUUCUUCCCGGUUGCGGCCGUAGGUCGCCAGCAGCGCCUGCGCCUC